CUUCUACUUUCUUUUUUCCCUUCGUGAUCUUCUUCUAUAUAUGAGUGUCUUUAUCUCCACAAGUGGCUUUUGGAGAAGGCUAUAUUUUGAGUUUUAGUGUUGAUUCUAGGGUUUCUAUUUCUAAUGGCUGGUUCUUCUUCUGCUUCUUACAUUCACAUGGUGCAGCACAUGAUUGAAAAAUGUUUGAUCUUCCACAUGAGCAAAGAAGAGUGUGUGGAAGCUCUCUCUAAGCAUGCAAACAUCACUCCUGUCAUCACCUCUACUGUACAAUAAGAGAAAGUCUUCACUUUGAUAUGACUGCUCCGGUGAAAAGACCUUCGUUUCCAAUGCUAUGGUGAAGAGACCUUCGUUUCCGAUGCUCCGAUCUUCGAGUACAAUGAAAGUGCCGUUGUGGCUAUGGUUGGGAAGAACUGCUUUGCCAUCGCGGGUGAUCGUAGGAUCGGUGUGCAGCUACAGACAAUCAACAUCAAUCUCUAGAGAAUCUCCAAGACCCACAAUGGUGUCUUCAUCAGCUUUUCUGGUCUCGCUACUGAUGUCAAAACACUGUAAGAAAAUUCCAGAUGUUUUAUUUGCUUCUUCUCUUUGAAUCUUCUCCAAAAGGUAUGGUCUUUGUGACCUCUUUUAUGGAGUCAAAGCUAGUUGGUUUAUGUCGCAGUUCAUAGGUCCAAUCACUCCCACUAUCUCAGUAUGAGGAUUAUGUGUUUUCUUGUACCCAUCGUUUACUCCACUAUGAAACUUUUAGGAUUUGGUUUUGAAUUCUUGUUAUCUUUUGAUGCCAGCAGCUUUUCUAGCCUGUUUGGCAACUCUAUUUUACUUGAACAAGUCCUCCAUAUAUGGAGUGUAAGCUUUUAUUUAUAAAGUAUGGAUAUGAUCGGAACAAAGAA